rnacentral:misc_RNA from 1 species
GGGGAACAUCCACCGCCCUUCAUCACAGCGCACCAGCUCACUCGAAAGCUGACACGCACUCCUUUCUAUAGGAUAACGGCUUACCAAAACACCUCGGGCAGUGGCCAAUAAUCUGCUGUUGUACAAGUAGCUCCGUAGGAAUAGCGUUAGCGAAAAAGAAGACGGGGAAAGGUGGCUAAGGCACACCAGCCGUCACCUGUUUUUCUUUUUAAUUGUAUUCCCGUCAGCGCCGUCCUCGAUCGCCGCCAGAGGACACCAGAGACGCCACUCGCACGUAGCGGAAUCCCGUUGUAUCGUCGUAGCCCCUUUCCAAAGAGCGGCUUGCAUCUCCCCUAGAAACCAAUAGCAACCAUGGGCCUCGAUACGUGGAAGACAUUUCCGAAGAUCCUGUCGGAGUACCCCAAGCACGGGGUGCCGCUGCCGUGCUCUGAUCAGCAUCCGCGGCUGCCGUGCCCCGAGACGCGCUGGGCCCGCGAUUUCUGCCUUGCACAGGGCGGCAACUGCGAGUAUAAGAUCGAGGCGCACUUCGACUGCCUUGAGCAGCACUACCCGAAGGAGAAGGUCGAUGAGCUGCGCAAGAUCUUCAAGCCCAGCACCCUAGACUACCCCACCUCCGACACCUACAUCCGCUACCGCCACUACUACAUUGGCGCGCCGUGGAUGUCCAAGAACAACUGGGAGGGAACGCGCUAGACGGAAGCCUUGCAUACACACUCACACGCAUGCGAGAGGGACCGACCGCACAGCACUGAGGUCAACGUCCGGCAACGUCUCCUUCCCCCAUCCUCUCUGGCCGUCUUCUCCGCUCUCUUUCUCUUUCUACGGAGGAUAUUGCCCCCCCCCCUCCCCCCCUUCCCCCUUCCUCUCCUCCUCCGGUCUCCCUGCUCACCUCUCACACGCCAUCGAGAGUCAGGGAGGGUGAUGGCUGAGGCGAACGAGUACGGGUGACUUUACUGGUGCCCCCUCCCCCCGCUUCGUGCGGCUCUCUCUCUGUGUGUAGUGGUCCGUUGGGGAACGUGCAAGAGUGCCGCUGUUCCUGGGGCGUUUCUCGUGCUUUGCCUUUGCCUCGGACUCGUAUGACCGAAUGCGCUCCCUCGCAGGCGCCAACCGCCGAUGCGUCAAACCAACGCGGAAUUCGAUAGACUGCUUUCGCGACCUUUCCAGACCGCGCCGUCGGCUGGUCUGCACCCUCCCUCUCCUCCACACGGUCAGACUGGGAGCACGCUUCGAGGCUGCCCUGCCCCUCUCGUCUGUUGUCGCGCUUCGUCGCGGCAGCCUGUGGGCCUCUCUUUCUCCAGCCCGCGGUACAGGCGCGACCGUAGGAAGGGGCGCUCGAGGCAAAAGAUGGGAUCGUUGGCCCGUAGCUUUUAGCGGACUGCUGUGAAGAGCGGCAUGCCGAGGACAUGCCGCUUUUGAUAAUUCUUCUUUGGUAUUCUGAGUGUGGUCGUGAUGAUGGGACCGGUGCUGCCUUAUCGUGCGCUGAACGCGGCGUCGCUG